rnacentral:rRNA from 1 species
UGGGGAAUAUUGCACAAUGGGCGAAAGCCUGAUGCAGCAACGCCGCGUGAGCGAUGAAGGCCUUCGGGUCGUAAAGCUCUGUCCUCAAGGAAGAUAAUGACGGUACUUGAGGAGGAAGCCCCGGCUAACUACGUGCCAGCAGCCGCGGUAAUACGUAGGGGGCUAGCGUUAUCCGGAAUUACUGGGCGUAAAGGGUGCGUAGGUGGUUUCUUAAGUCAGAGGUGAAAGGCUACGGCUCAACCGUAGUAAGCCUUUGAAACUGGGAAACUUGAGUGCAGGAGAGGAGAGUGGAAUUCCUAGUGUAGCGGUGAAAUGCGUAGAUAUUAGGAGGAACACCAGUGGCGAAGGCGACUUUCUGGACUGUACCUGACGCUGAGGCGCGAAAGCGUGGGGAGCGAACA